rnacentral:rRNA from 1 species
GCCAAUGCAUGCUUUUACAGUAUGGAAAUUGGUGAUUUAUAAUAACUUGGCAAAUCGCAAAGUGAAAACAGGCGAUAAAUCAUUCAAGUUUCUGACCUAUCAGCUUUCGACGGUAUGGUAUUGGCUUACCGUGGCAGUGACGGUUAACGGGGGAUUAGGGUUCGAUUCCGGAGAGGGAGCCUGAGAAACGGCUACCACAUCUAAGGAAGGCAGCAGGCGCGCAAAUUACCCAAUUCUAACAGUUUGAGAGAGGUAGUAACAAGAAAUAACAAUACAAGGCAAUUAAAAUGCUUUGUAAUUGGAAUGAUAGAAAUUUAAACCCUUUUUAAAGUAUCAAUUGGAGGGCAAGUCUGGUGCCAGCAGCCGCGGUAAUUCCAGCUCCAAUAGCGUAUAUUAAAAUUGUUGCAGUUAAAAAGCUCGUAGUUGAAGUUCUGCUAAAAGUAACCGGUCUGCUUUUAAUAAAAGUGGUAUCUUGGUGUGUAUUUAGCAAUGAUGUCCUUUGAAGUGUUUUUUACUUUAUUGUAAUAAAGCAUAUUCAGGACUUUUACUUUGAGAAAAUUAGAGUGUUUCUAGCAGGCCGACGCUUUGAAUACUGCAGCAUGGAAAUAAAUAAGA